UUGCCUACGGGGGGCAGCAGUGGGGAAUAUUGCACAAUGGGGGAAACCCUGAUGCAGCAACGCCGCGUGAGUGAAGAAGGUUUUCGGAUUGUAAAGCUCUGUUAGCAGGGAAGAGGAAGGACGGUACCUGCAGAGGAAGCCACGGCUAACUACGUGCCAGCAGCCGCGGUAAUACGUAGGUGGCAAGCGUUAUCCGGAUUUAUUGGGUGUAAAGGGUGCGUAGACGGGAAUUUAAGUUAGUUGUGAAAUCCCUCGGCUUAACUGAGGAACUGCAACUAAAACUGGAUUUCUUGAGUGCGGGAGAG
rnacentral:rRNA from 1 species